rnacentral:misc_RNA from 1 species
GACGAACCGUGCGAACGUUGUUCGGAAUCACUGGGCUUAAAGGGCGCGUAGGCGGGCCGCCCAGUCGGAGGUGAAAGCUCCCGGCCCAACCGGGAAAGUGCCUUCGAUACUGGCGGCCUCGAGGGGGGUAGGGGCACGCGGAACUUCCGGUGGAGCGGUGAAAUGCGUAGAGAUCGGAAGGAACGCCGGCGGCGAAAGCGGCGUGCUGGGCCCCAUCUGACGCUGAGGCGCGAAAGCCAGGGGAGCGAACGGG